CCUACGGGACCUGCAGUGGGGAAUAUUGGACAAUGGGCGAAAGCCUGAUCCAGCCAUGCCGCGUGUGUGAAGAAGGCCUUCGGGUUGUAAAGCACUUUCAGUGGGGAAGAAAGCCUUGGGGCUAAUACCCUCGAGGAAGGACAUCACCCACAGAAGAAGCACCGGCUAACUCCGUGCCAGCAGCCGCGGUAAUACGGAGGGUGCGAGCGUUAAUCGGAAUUACUGGGCGUAAAGCGCGCGUAGGCGGUCUGAUAAGCCGGUUGUGAAAGCCCCGGGCUCAACCUGGGAACGGCAUCCGGAACUGUCAGGCUAGAGUGCAGGAGAGGAAGGUAGAAUUCCCGGUGUAGCGGUGAAAUGCGUAGAGAUCGGGAGGAAUACCAGUGGCGAAGGCGGCCUUCUGGACUGACACUGACGCUGAGGUGCGAAAGCGUGGGUAGCAAACAGGAUUAGAUACCCUAGUAGUC
rnacentral:rRNA from 1 species